rnacentral:rRNA from 1 species
UUAAGUGAAUAAGGGCGCACGGUGGAUGCCUUGGCACUAGGAGCCGAUGAAGGACGGGACUAACACCGAUAUGCUUUGGGGAGCUGUAAGUAAGCUAUGAUCCAGAGAUUUCCGAAUGGGGGAACCCAAUAUCUUUUAUAGGAUAUUACUUUUCAGUGAAUACAUAGCUGAUUAGAGGUAGACGCAGAGAACUGAAACAUCUUAGUACCUGCAGGAAGAGAAAGAAAAUUCGAUUCCCUGAGUAGCGGCGAGCGAAACGGGAAGAGCCCAAACCAACAAGCUUGCUUGUUGGGGUUGUAGGACUCCAAUAUGGUAGUCUGUUAGUAUAGUUGAAGGAUUUGGAAAAUUCCGCUAAAGAGGGUGAAAGCCCCGUAGACGAAAUGCUAACAACACCUAGGAGGAUCCUGAGUACGGCGGAACACGAGAAAUUCCGUCGGAAUCCGCGGGGACCAUCCCGCAAGGCUAAAUACUCCCUAGUGACCGAUAGUGAACCAGUACCGUGAGGGAAAGGUGAAAAGCACCCCGGAAGGGGAGUGAAAUAGAUCCUGAAACCGUGUGCCUACAACAAGUCAAAGCUCGUUAAUGAGUGAUGGCGUGCCUUUUGUAGAAUGAACCGGCGAGUUACGAUUGCAUGCGAGGUUAAGUCGAAGAGACGGAGCCGCAGCGAAAGCGAGUCUGAAUAGGGCGAAUGAGUAUGUAGUCGUAGACCCGAAACCAUGUGAUCUACCCAUGUCCAGGUUGAAGGUGCGGUAAAACGCACUGGAGGACCGAACCCACGUACGUUGAAAAGUGCGGGGAUGAGGUGUGGGUAGCGGAGAAAUUCCAAACGAACUUGGAGAUAGCUGGUUCUCUCCGAAAUAGCUUUAGGGCUAGCCUCGGAAUUGAGAAUGAUGGAGGUAGAGCACUGUUUGGACUAGGGGCCCAUCUCGGGUUACCGAAUUCAGAUAAACUCCGAAUGCCAUUCAUUUAUAUCCGGGAGUCAGACUGCGAGUGAUAAGAUCCGUAGUCGAAAGGGAAACAGCCCAGACCACCAGCUAAGGUCCCAAAAUAUAUGUUAAGUGGAAAAGGAUGUGGGGUUGCACAGACAACUAGGAUGUUGGCUUAGAAGCAGCCACCAUUUAAAGAGUGCGUAAUAGCUCACUAGUCGAGUGACCCUGCGCCGAAAAUGUACCGGGGCUAAACAUAUUACCGAAGCUGUGGACUACACCAUUAGGUGUAGUGGUAGGAGAGCGUUCUAAGGGCGUUGAAGGUCGAUCGUGAGGACGGCUGGAGCGCUUAGAAGUGAGAAUGCCGGUAUGAGUAGCGAAAGACAGGUGAGAAUCCUGUCCACCGUAUGACUAAGGUUUCCUGGGGAAGGCUCGUCCGCCCAGGGUUAGUCGGGACCUAAGCCGAGGCCGAUAGGCGUAGGCGAUGGACAACAGGUUGAUAUUCCUGUACCAGUUGUUUUUGUUUGAGCAAUGGAGGGACGCAGUAGGCUAAGGAAUGCAUGCGAUUGGAAGUGCAUGUCCAAGCAAUGAGUCUUGAGUAGAGUUAAAUGCUUUACUCUCUAAGGACAAGUUGUGACGGGGAGCGAAAUAAUAGUAGCGAAGUUCCUGAUGUCACACUGCCAAGAAAAGCUUCUAGUGAGAAAACAACUGCCCGUACCGUAAACCGACACAGGUAGUCGAGGAGAGUAUCCUAAGGUGAGCGAGCGAACUCUCGUUAAGGAACUCGGCAAAAUGACCCCGUAACUUCGGGAGAAGGGGUGCUGACUUCGGUCAGCCGCAGUGAAUAGGCCCAAGCGACUGUUUAUCAAAAACACAGGUCUCUGCAAAAUCGUAAGAUGAAGUAUAGGGGCUGACGCCUGCCCGGUGCUGGAAGGUUAAGAGGAUGGGUUAGCUUCGGCGAAGCUCAGAAUUGAAGCCCCAGUAAACGGCGGCCGUAACUAUAACGGUCCUAAGGUAGCGAAAUUCCUUGUCGGGGAAGUUCCGACCCGCACGAAAGGCGUAACGAUUUGGGCACUGUCUCAACGAGAGACUCGGUGAAAUUUUAGUACCUGUGAAGAUGCAGGUUACCCGCGACAGGACGGAAAGACCCCAUGGAGCUUUACUGUAGUUUGAUAUUGAGUGUUUGUACCACAUGUACAGGAUAGGUAGGAGCCGAUGAGACCGGAACGCUAGUUUCGGAGGAGGCGCUGGUGGGAUACUACCCUUGUGUUAUGAACCCUCUAACCCGCACCACUAAUCGUGGUGGGAGACAGUGUCAGAUGGGCAGUUUGACUGGGGCGGUCGCCUCCUAAAAGGUAACGGAGGCGCCCAAAGGUUCCCUCAGAAUGGUUGGAAAUCAUUCGAAGAGUGUAAAGGCAGAAGGGAGCUUGACUGCGAGACCUACAAGUCGAGCAGGGACGAAAGUCGGGCUUAGUGAUCCGGUGGUUCCGCAUGGAAGGGCCAUCGCUCAACGGAUAAAAGCUACCCUGGGGAUAACAGGCUUAUCUCCCCCAAGAGUCCACAUCGACGGGGAGGUUUGGCACCUCGAUGUCGGCUCGUCGCAUCCUGGGGCUGUAGUCGGUCCCAAGGGUUGGGCUGUUCGCCCAUUAAAGCGGCACGCGAGCUGGGUUCAGAACGUCGUGAGACAGUUCGGUCCCUAUCCGUCGCGGGCGUUGGAAAUUUGAGAGGAGCUGUCCUUAGUACGAGAGGACCGGGAUGGACUUACCGCUGGUGUACCAGUUGUUCUGCCAAGGGCAUUGCUGGGUAGCUAUGUAGGGAAGGGAUAAACGCUGAAAGCAUCUAAGUGUGAAGCCCACCUCAAGAUGAGAUUUCCCAUUUCUUUAAGAAAGUAAGACCCCUGAGAGAUGAUCAGGUAGAUAGGUUGGAAGUGGAAGGCUAGUGAUAGUUGGAGCGGACCAAUACUAAUCGGUCGAGGACUUAACCAA